rnacentral:tRNA from 2 species
ACUUUUUUAAUAUAGCCAAUAUAGAUGACUUCCACUCAUCCAACCUCAGCCCAAACCUGAGAAAAAGUA